rnacentral:rRNA from 1 species
ACGUAGGGUGCGAGCGUUAAUCGGAAUUACUGGGCGUAAAGCGUGCGCAGGCGGUUGUGUAAGACAGGUGUGAAAUCCCCGGGCUCAACCCGGGAACUGCGUCCGAUACUGGUUGGCUUGAAUCCGGGAGAGGGAUGCGGAAUUCCAGGUGUAGCGGUGAAAUGCGUAGAUAUCUGGAGGAACACCGGUGGCGAAGGCGGCAUCCUGGACCGGCAUUGACGCCGAGGCGCGAAAGCCAGGGGAGCAAACGGGA